rnacentral:rRNA from 1 species
GACGAACGAUGGCGGAGGGCGGAAAAAAGGAAAGGAGAAGGGAAAGGACAUGCGGGGGAAGAGAGGGGCGAACGGGUGAGUAACACGGGGGGGAGCUGCGCGGGAGUUUGGGAUAAGCCUGGGAAACGGGGGCUAAUACCGAAUAGGAGAAAGCGCUUCAUGGGGGGUGGUGGAAAGCUUUUGCGGUGUGGGAUGGGCCCGCGGCCUAUCAGCUUGUUGGUGGGGUAAUGGCCUACCAAGGCGACGACGGGGCGGCGGCCUGAGAGGGUGACCGGCCCCACUGUGCCUCAUCUACGGCCCCGACUCCUACGGGAGGCAGCAGUGGGGAAUAUUGCACAAUGGGCGCAAGCCUGAUGCAGCGACGCCGCGUGCGGGAUUCCUCCCUUCGGGUUGUAAACCUCUUUCAAUCGGGACGAAGCGCAAGUGACGGUACCUAUAGAAGAAGCCCCGGCCCCCUACGUG